rnacentral:rRNA from 1 species
GUGAACCUUUACUAUAGCUUGACACUGAACAUUGAGCCUUGAUGUGUAGGAUAGGUGGGAGGCUUUGAAGUGUGGACGCCAGUCUGCAUGGAGCCGACCUUGAAAUACCACCCUUUAAUGUUUGAUGUUCUAACGUUGACCCGUAAUCCGGGUUGCGGACAGUGUCUGGUGGGUAGUUUGACUGGGGCGGUCUCCUCCUAAAGAGUAACGGAGGAGCACGAAGGUUGGCUAAUCCUGGUCGGACAUCAGGAGGUUAGUGCAAUGGCAUAAGCCAGCUUGACUGCGAGCGUGACGGCGCGAGCAGGUGCGAAAGCAGGUCAUAGUGAUCCGGUGGUUCUGAAUGGAAGGGCCAUCGCUCAACGGAUAAAAGGUACUCCGGGGAUAACAGGCUGAUACCGCCCAAGAGUUCAUAUCGACGGCGGUGUUUGGCACCUCGAUGUCGGCUCAUCACAUCCUGGGGCUGAAGUAGGUCCCAAGGGUAUGGCUGUUCGCCAUUUAAAGUGGUACGCGAGCUGGGUUUAGAACGUCGUGAGACAGUUCGGUCCCUAUCUGCCGUGGGCGCUGGAGAACUGAGGGGGGCUGCUCCUAGUACGAGAGGACCGGAGUGGACGCAUCACUGGUGUUCGGGUUGUCAUGCCAAUGGCACUGCCCGGUAGCUAAAUGCGGAAGAGAUAAGUGCUGAAAGCAUCUAAGCACGAAACUUGCCCCGAGAUGAGUUCUCCCUGACUCCUUGAGAGUCCUGAAGGAACGUUGAAGACGACGACGUUGAUAGGCCGGGUGUGUAAGCGCAGCGAUGCGUUGAGCUAACCGGUACUAAUGAACCGUGAGG